rnacentral:misc_RNA from 1 species
GAUGAAGAACGUAGCUAAAUGCGAUAAGUAGUGUGAAUUGCAGAAUUCCGUGAAUCAUCGAAUCUUUGAACGCACAUUGCGCCCGCCAGUAUUCUGGCGGGCAUGCCUGUUCGAGCGUCAUUUCAACCCUCAGGCCCCCAGUGCCUGGUGUUGGGGAUCGGCCCAGCCUUCCUGUAAGGCCGCCGGCCCCGAAAUCUAGUGGCGGUCUCGCUGUAGUCCUCCUCUGCGUAGUAGCACAACCUCGCAGUUGGAACGCGGCGGUGGCCAUGCCGUUAAACACCCCACUUCUGAAAGUUGACCUCGGAUCAGGUAGGAAUACCCGCUGAACUUAAGCAUAUCAAUAAGCGGAGGA